rnacentral:rRNA from 1 species
UACGGGGGGAGCAAGCGUUGUUCGGAUUUACUGGGCGUAAAGGGCGCGUAGGCGGCGCGACAAGUCAGUGGUGAAAGCCCGAGGCUCAACUUCGGGUCGGCCACUGAUACUGUCGGGCUCGAGCACUGUAGAGGCAGGUGGAAUUCCGGGUGUAGCGGUGGAAUGCGUAGAGAUCGGGAAGAACACCCGUGGCGAAGGCGACGUGCUGGGCUGAACCUGACGCUGAGAUGCGAAAGUGUGGGGAGCAAACGGG